UACGGAGUGGCAGACGGGUGAGUAACACGUGGGAACGUGCCUUUUGGUUCGGAACAACUGAGGGAAACUUCAGCUAAUACCGGAUAAGCCCUUACGGGGAAAGAUUUAUCGCCAAGAGAUCGGCCCGCGUCUGAUUAGCUAGUUGGUGAGGUAACGGCUCACCAAGGCUACGAUCAGUAGCUGGUCUGAGAGGAUGAUCAGCCACACUGGGACUGAGACACGGCCCAG
rnacentral:rRNA from 1 species